rnacentral:rRNA from 1 species
UGGGGAAUAUUGCACAAUGGGCGCAAGCCUGAUGCAGCGACGCCGCGUGCGGGAUGACGGCCUUCGGGUUGUAAACCGCUUUUGAUCGGGAGCAAGCCUUCGGGUGAGUGUACCUUUCGAAUAAGCACCGGCUUACUACGUG